GGUUAAGCGACUAAGCGUACACGGUGGAUGCCCUGGCAGUCAGAGGCGAUGAAGGACGUGCUAAUCUGCGAUAAGCGUCGGUGAGGUGAUAUGAACCGUUAUAACCGGCGAUUUCCGAAUGGGGAAACCCAGUGUGUUUCGACACACUAUCAUUAACUGAAUCCAUAGGUUAAUGAGGCGAACCGGGGGAACUGAAACAUCUAAGUACCCCGAGGAAAAGAAAUCAACCGAGAUUCCCCCAGUAGCGGCGAGCGAACGGGGAGGAGCCCAGAGCCUGAAUCAGUGUGUGUGUUAGUGGAAGCGUCUGGAAAGGCGCGCGAUACAGGGUGACAGCCCCGUACACAAAAAUGCACAUAUUGUGAGCUCGAUGAGUAGGGCGGGACACGUGGUAUCCUGUCUGAAUAUGGGGGGACCAUCCUCCAAGGCUAAAUACUCCUGACUGACCGAUAGUGAACCAGUACCGUGAGGGAAAGGCGAAAAGAACCCCGGCGAGGGGAGUGAAAAAGAACCUGAAACCGUGUACGUACAAGCAGUGGGAGCCUCUUAAUGGGGUGACUGCGUACCUUUUGUAUAAUGGGUCAGCGACUUAUAUUCUGUAGCAAGGUUAACCGAAUAGGGGAGCCGAAGGGAAACCGAGUCUUAACUGGGCGUUAAGUUGCAGGGUAUAGACCCGAAACCCGGUGAUCUAGCCAUGGGCAGGUUGAAGGUUGGGUAACACUAACUGGAGGACCGAACCGACUAAUGUUGAAAAAUUAGCGGAUGACUUGUGGCUGGGGGUGAAAGGCCAAUCAAACCGGGAGAUAGCUGGUUCUCCCCGAAAGCUAUUUAGGUAGCGCCUCGUGAAUUCAUCUCCGGGGGUAGAGCACUGUUUCGGCAAGGGGGUCAUCCCGACUUACCAACCCGAUGCAAACUGCGAAUACCGGAGAAU
rnacentral:rRNA from 1 species